ensembl:lncRNA
CAGUGAUCAAGCACUGAGCAAUUUUUUUUGCAAGCGAGUCACAUUCAGAAGUUUCUUUGCCAACAUUGCAACUUCUGCAAGAAAUUCUUGUCUCCUAUGAAAAUAUUUUGAAGAAACUAAGUACUCCAGGAGCUCCAGAAGAUUCUCGGGGAAGCGCUGUUUACUAUCCAGCUUGACCUGCAGGCCGUGAAAACACAGCUGGCUAGUGAUAAAGUUGCUACCGAGGCCACCAUGUCAACACUGUAAGGUACUGCUGGGGAGAUGGAGCACGCUCUCUCCCCUUGCACCGAUGACAUAGCUCACAUGAACACUACUGUCGAGUCUCUCACUGCGACUGUGACUCAAUUAGAGAAUAAAUGUGAGGAUUUGGAGUUGAGGUCACGGCGCAAUAACGUUACGAUAGUAGGAGAUCCAGAGGGCGCUGAAACCUGU